rnacentral:rRNA from 1 species
AACGAACGCUGGCGGCAUGCCUAACACAUGCAAGUCGAACGAGACCUUCGGGUCUAGUGGCGCACGGGUGCGUAACGCGUGGGAACCUGCCCUUAGGUUCGGAAUAACUCCCCGAAAGGGGUGCUAAUACCGGAUAAUGUCUUCGGACCAAAGAUUUAUCGCCUUUGGAUGGGCCCGCGUUGGAUUAGCUAGUUGGUAGGGUAAAAGCCUACCAAGGCGACGAUCCAUAGCUGGUCAGAGAGGAUGAUCAGCCACACUGGGACUGAGACACGGCCCAGACUCCUACGGGAGGCAGCAGUGGGGAAUAUUGGACAAUGGGCGAAAGCCUGAUCCAGCAAUGCCGCGUGAGUGAUGAAGGCCUGAGGGUUGUAAAGCUCUUUUACCCGGGAUGAUAAUGACAGUACCGGGAGAAUAAGCUCCGGCUAACUCCGUG